CGCUAACGAACGCCCACCUCCUGGCCGCCACCGCCUUGCAGAGCCCUCGCGAAUGCCCACCUCUUCUCUACUCUCCUAGCUGUCACCCCCCGCUGGUCUCCGUCGUCGCCUUCCUCUCCAUCAUUACGGCGUCGGCCAUCCCCUCUCCAAUCUUCCUCAGGUGCGUUCUUUCCCACUGAUCUCUUUAGCGGCAGUAUUUUAUUUUGGUUUUUCUUUUUCUUCAAACCCUUCUCAAGCCCUAGCGAACGCCCACCUCCUCGCCGCCACCGCCUUGCAGAGCCCUCGCGAAUGCCCACCUCUUCCCUANNNNNNNNNNNNNNNNNNNNGCGAACGCCCACCUCCUCGCCGCCACCGCCUUGCAGAGCCCUCGCGAAUGCCCACCUCUUCCCUACUCUCCUAGCCGUCACCCCCCCGCUGGUCUCUGUCGUCGCCUUCCUCCCAUCAUUACGGCGUCGGCCAUCCCCUCUCCAAUCUUCGUCAGGUGCGUUCUUUCGUACAGAUCUCUUUAAC
rnacentral:lncRNA from 1 species